rnacentral:rRNA from 1 species
UACGUAGGGGGCAAGCGUUGUCCGGAAUCAUUGGGCGUAAAGAGCGUGUAGGCGGCCAGAUAAGUCCGCUGUGAAAACUCGAGGCUCAACUUCGAGCUGUCGGUGGAAACUAUUUGGCUAGAGUCCGGAAGAGGAGAGUGGAAUUCCUGGUGUAGCGGUGAAAUGCGCAGAUAUCAGGAGGAACACCAAUGGCGAAGGCAGCUCGCUGGGACGGUACUGACGCUGAGGAGCGAAAGCGUGGGGAGCGAACAGG